rnacentral:rRNA from 1 species
UACGUAGGGGGCAAGCGUUGUCCGGAAUCAUUGGGCGUAAAGCGCGCGUAGGCGGCCCGGUAAGUCCGUUGUGAAAGUCAAAGGCUCAACCUUUGAACGCCGAUGGAUACUGCCGGGCUAGAGUCCCGGAAGAGGCGAGUGGAAUUCCUGGUGUAGCGGUGGAAUGCGCAGAUAUCAGGAGGAACACCAAUAAGCGAAGGCAGCUCGCUGGGACGGUACUGACGCUGGAGGCGCGAAAGCG